UACGAAGGGGGCUAGCGUUGUUCGGAAUUACUGGGCGUAAAGCGCGCGCAGGCGGCUAUCCAAGUCAGUGGUGAAAGCCCGGAGCUCAACUCCGGAACUGCCAUUGAAACUGUUUAGCUUGAGUUCGGUAGGGGAGACUGGAAUUCCUGGUGUAGCGGUGAAAUGCGCAGAUAUCAGGAGGAACACCGGUGGCGAAGGCGGGUCUCUGGGCCGAUACUGACGCUGAGGAGCGAAAGCGUGGGGAGCGAACAGG
rnacentral:rRNA from 1 species